GACGAACGCUGGCGGCGUGCCUAAUACAUGCAAGUAGAACGCUGAAGCGAGGAGCUUGCUCUUCUUGGAUGAGUUGCGAACGGGUGAGUAACGCGUAGGUAACCUGCCUUUUAGUGGGGGAUAACUAUUGGAAACGAUAGCUAAUACCGCAUAACAAUGGAUGACACUUGUCAUUUAUUUUAAAGGGGCAAUUGCUCCACUACAAGAUGGACCUGCGUUGUAUUAGCUAGUAGGUGAAGUAAUGGCUCAACUAGGCGACGAUACAUAGCCGACCUGAGAGGGUGCUGGGCCCAACCGGGACUGAGACACCGCCCAGAACCCCACGGGAGGGAGCAGUAGGGAAUCAUUGGAAAAGGGGGCAACGCUGACCGAGCUACGCCGCGUGGGUGAAGAAGGGUUUCGGAUCGUAAAGAUCUGUUGUACGUGAAGAAAGAGCAUGAGAGUGGAACGUGCACAGUGUGACGGUAGCUUAACAGAAAGGGCCGGCUAACUACGUG
rnacentral:rRNA from 1 species